GAUGAACGCUAGCGGCAGGCCUAAUACAUGCAAGCCGAACGGCAAGCUUUGUAGCAAUACAGAGCCUAGAGUGGCGUAAGGGUGCGUAACACGUAUGGAAUCUGCCCUCAACAGGAGGAUAGCUCCCCGAAAGGGGAAUUAACACUCCAUAGGAUAUAGGUGUGGCAUCACAUUUAUAUUAAACCGCAAGGGGUUGAGGAUGAGCAUGCGCAUGAUUAGUUAGUUGGCGGGGUAACGGCCACCAAGACGAUGAUCAUUAGGGGAACUGAGAGGUUGAUCCCCA
rnacentral:rRNA from 1 species